rnacentral:rRNA from 1 species
AUUGAACGCUGGCGUCAGGCCUAACACAUGCAAGUCGAGCGAGCGGCGGACGGGUGAGUAAUGUAUGGGGACUGCCCGAUAGAGGGGGAUAACUCCUGGAAACGGUAGCUAAUACCGCAUACUAUCGGAUUACCCCUGUGGGAUUAGCUAGUAGGUGGGGUAAUGGCUCACCUAGGCGACGAUCCCUAGCUGGUCUGAGAGGAUGAUCAGCCACACUGGGACUGAGACACGGCCCAGACUCCUACGGAGGCAGCAGUGGGGAAUAUUGGACAAUGGGGGAAACCCUGAUGCAGCCAUCCCGCGUGUAUGAUGAAGGCCUUCGGGUUGUAAAGUACUUUUGGCAGAGAAGCGGUAUCUGCAGAAUAAGCACCGGCUAACUACGUGCCAGCCGCCGCGGUAAUUC